GACACAGCCUGUGCGAGGAAAGAGGUUUGCCCAAGGAGAGGAAGAGUGAAAAGAAACAGAAGCCAUUGCUUCCAGUCGGGGGAAGAGUUUGAGCCCAGAGCUGACUGCUGGGUGGAAGACGGGGACGAGGUGUGCGCAGGACAACCCAUUACGGAGAAGAGUCUAGAAGUGGAUUUCUGUUCCCCAGGGCACCAGAAGUCCACAGUGCUAGGGCACCAAGGAGGGUGAGGACCAAGAAGGGACCAAGAGGUGGUGUAAACUCCUUUCUCCAGGAGUUCAGAGCCAAAGAAGGGGAAAGAAAUGACCAUCUCCGACCCCACAGGGACCUCGAGCCCAGAACAGGCACAUGGUUCAUCGGGAGACACAGUAACAGGAGAGGAAGAGCCCAUCUGUCCUUGUUCCCAGCAGCCUGCAUCUGGGAGGCGCCCUGCCCCUCAAAGCCCCGGUCGCCAGCCUCCCCCCUUGCACCAAGAGAGCCAUGCAACCUGGCAUCCAGUAGUAUGGAGAAAGGAAAUCCUUCGAUUUCAAGAAUGGAUUUCUUUUCUUUGCCUAAGUGACCCUGACAAGCUCGAAUGAGACCAAACUUGGCUUCCCCAGGCGAUAACGCAGUCAAAACCAAUCAGAGGCGGCACGGUGGUUCCAGCCAGACUGUCCCAGGAGGACAGCAUGCUCUGGAAAUCUAUCUUGGCAUUUACGUAGAGAUG